AUGACAAGUGAUGAAGAAUUUUGUGAAUGCAGACCUUUGGGUUUCUUCUUAGGAUUACCCUUUGCUUUCUUGUCAUUAAUUUUAUCUCUUCUUGGUGCUAUUCUUUGGAUUUUCGGGUCAAUAUUUAGUUGCUUGUGUCCAUGCUGCAUAUGCUGCACAGGUUUGGUCAAUUUUGCUGUGUGUUUGGUAAAGCUUCCACUUCGAGUUCUUAGAUGGUUCGUUGACCAAAUUCCUUGUUAA